AUGGCGGAGGCUCGGAGGCGACCCGGAGGUGAACUGCAUAUGUGCGAGCUCAAGCACAACCACAAGACCUCAAUUCCGACGUUCCUCUCCACCUGUGGCAACUUCACACUCACGAGGGUGAGUGCCAUGGUCGUCUAUGUUGGGCUUCUGCACGACAGCGUUGAUGAUUCGUUUGUUGAAUAUGAUCACAUCUUCCACAUGUUCGGUGCUGGAGUGGCUGAUCUCGUGGAAGGGUUAUGUAUUCCUCUUCUCACGGAUUUUGACCAUUGUUUAAGAGGGAUUCGGAUAAUGGGUUUGGUAGUUAGUACAUUCAUAUUCGUUGGCAUCCUCAAGCUGUUGGCUAGAUCUACUGCAAAUAUUGUGAUUUAA
rnacentral:rRNA from 1 species